CACAAUUUCUAUUUAGCCAAUUGUCUAUCUUUAGGCAUUCAGAAUAGCUAAAGAUGGACAAUUGGCUAAAUAGACACUGUG
ensembl:miRNA MIR4662B microRNA 4662b